rnacentral:rRNA from 1 species
CAGUAGCCGCGGGAAUACGUAGGUCCCGAGCGUUGUCCGGAUUUAUUGGGCGUAAAGCGUGCGCAGGCGGUUAGAUAAGUCUGAAGUUAAAGGCCGUGGCUUAACCAUAGUACGCUUUGGAAACUGUUUAACUUGAGUGCAAGAGGGGAGAGUGGAAUUCCAUGUGUAGCGGUGAAAUGCGUAGAUAUAUGGAGGAACACCGGUGGCGAAAGCGGCUCUCUGGCUUGUAACUGACGCUGAGGCUCGAAAGCGUGGGGAGCAAACAGGAUUAGAUACCCCUGUAGUCCCUGUCGCUUAUACC